rnacentral:rRNA from 1 species
AUUGAACGCUGGCGGAAUGCUUUACACAUGCAAGUCGAACGGCAGCACGGACUUCGGUCUGGUGGCGAGUGGCGAACGGGUGAGUAAUGUAUCGGAACGUGCACAGUCGUGGGGGAUAACGUAGUGAAAAUUACGCUAAUACCGCAUACGCUCUAUGGAUGAAAGCGGGGGAUCGCAAGACGACGCGCGAUUGGAGCGGCCGAUAUCAGAUUAGGUAGUUGGUGGGGUAAAGGCCCACCAAGCCAACGAUCAGUAGCUGGUCUGAGAGGACGACCAGCCACACUGGAACUGAGACACGGUCCAGACUCCUACGGGAGGCAGCAGUGGGAAAUUUUGGACAAUGGGCGAAAGCCUGAUCCAGCCAUUCCGCGUGCAGGAUGAAGGCCCUCGGGUUGUAAACUGCUUUUGUACAGAACGAAAAGGUUUCUACUAAUACUAGGAGCUCAUGACGGUACUGUAAGAAUAAGCACCGGCUAACUACGUGCCAGCAGCCGCGGUAA